rnacentral:rRNA from 1 species
UGGGGAAUUUUGGACAAUGGGCGCAAGCCUGAUCCAGCCAUUCCGCGUGGGUGAAGAAGGCCUUCGGGUUGUAAAGCCCUUUUGUCAGGGAGCAAAUCCUGCGUGUGAACAAUGCGUGGGGAUGAGAGUACCUGAAGAAUAAGCACCGGCUAACUACGUGCCAGCAGCCGCGGUAAUACGUAGGGUGCAAGCGUUAAUCGGAAUUACUGGGCGUAAAGCGUGCGCAGGCGGGCUUUUAAGUCAGAUGUGAAAUCCCCGGGCUUAACCUGGGAAUGGCGUUUGAAACUGGAAGUCUUGAGUGUAGCAGAGGGGGGUGGAAUUCCACGUGUAGCAGUGAAAUGCGUAGAGAUGUGGAGGAACACCGAUGGCGAAGGCAGCCCCCUGGGCUAACACUGACGCU